AGGACGAACGCUGGCGGCGUGCUUAACACAUGCAAGUCAAGGGGGCCCAGCAAUGGGCAACCGGCGAACGGGUGCGUAACACGUGAGCAACCUACCGAAAUGUGGGGGAUAGCCGGCCUAACGGCCGAGUAAUACCGCAUACGCUCUCGAUGAGGCAUUUCAUUGAGAGGAAACCUACGGGACAUUUCGAGGGGCUCGCGGCCUAUCAGCUAGUUGGAGAGGUAAUGGCUCACCAUGGCUUCGACGGGUAGCCGGCCUGAGAGGGUGACCGGUCACACUGGGACUGAGACACGGCCCAGACUCCUACGGGAGGCAGCAGUGGGAAUAUGGACAAUGGGCGAAGCCUGAUCCAGCAACGCGCGUGAGGGAUGACGGCUUCGGGUGUAAACCGUCUUUCAGUACCGACGAAGCGCGAAGUGACGGUAGGUACAGAAGAAGCACCGGCCAACUACGUGCCAGCGAGCCGC
rnacentral:rRNA from 1 species